rnacentral:rRNA from 1 species
AAACAUUGACAGUAAAAUACACAUCCGCCCGGGUANUACGAGCAUCAGCUUAAAACCCAAAGGACUUGGCGGUGCUUUAGAUCCACCUAGAGGAGCCUGUUCUAGAACCGAUAACCCCCGUUAAACCUCACCCUUCCUUGUUUCCCCCGCCUAUAUACCACCGUCGUCAGCUUACCCUGUGAAGGCCCUAUAGUAAGCAAAAUUGGCACAGCCCAAAACGUCAGGUCGAGGUGUAGCGUAUGGAAGGGGAAGAAAUGGGCUACAUUCACUUCCUUAGGAAAUAACGAAACGAGUG